GGGUUUAAAGGGUCCGUAGGCGGUCUGAUAAGUCAGAGGUGAAAUCCUGCAGCUCAACUGUAGCAUUGCCUUUGAUACUGUUAGACUUGAGUUAUUGUGAAGUAGUUAGAAUGUGUGGUGUAGCGGUGAAAUGCAUAGAUAUUACAUAGAAUACCAAUUGCGAAGGCAGAUUACUAAUAAUCAACUGACACUGAUGGACGAAAGCGUGGGUAGCGAACAGGAUUAGAUACCCUGGUAGUCCACGCCGUAAACGAUGGUUACUAGCUGUUUGGACCUUGUGUCUGAGUGGCUAAGCGAAAGUGAUAAGUAACCCACCUGGGGAGUACGUUCGCAAGAAUGAAACUCAAAGGAAUUGACGGGGGCCCGCACAAGCGGUGGAGCAUGUGGUUUAAUUCGAAGCAACGCGAAGAACCUUACCUACACUUGACAUCCAGAGAACUUUCUAGAGAUAGAUUGGUGCCUUCGGGAACUCUGAGACAGGUGCUGCAUGGCU
rnacentral:rRNA from 1 species